rnacentral:rRNA from 1 species
UACAGAGGUGGCAAGCGUUGUUCGGAAUUACUGGGCGUAAAGGGCGCGUAGGCGGUUCGAUAAGUCCCUUGUGAAAGCCCCCGGCUCAACUGGGGAACUGCACGGGAAACUGACGGACUUGAGUUCGGGAGAGGGAAGCGGAAUUCCGGGUGUAGCGGUGAAAUGCGUAGAUAUCCGGAGGAACACCGGUGGCGAAGGCGGCUUCCUGGACCGACACUGACGCUGAGGCGCGAAAGCUAGGGGAGCAAACGGG